ensembl:lncRNA
UAUAUAUAUAUAUAUAUAUAUAUAUAUAUAUAUAAUCUAAAAAAAUACUUUUAGUAAAAUUAGAGGGAUCAUAAAAAUCCCAUGUUGUUUUAUAUUUAGUACUAUCCUGAAUAAACUAUUUCACAUAACAGAUGGUUACAUAUAUACAUAUACACAAGACAAGACAGGAGCUGAAUUUAUAAAAAUUACCCCUUUAAAAAAUUUACAAACCCUUGAUUCUUACUUAAUCCCGUGUGUCGUUACCUGGAUGAUCAACGACUGUGUUUAUGUUCUGUGAGAGUUGUUCACGAGUCGCUUGUUCGUCCUGAGCAGUUAAACUGCCCACUGUUCUUCAGAAAAAUCCUCCAGGUCUGGCACAUUCUUUACUUUUCCAGCAUAUUUGAGCCUUUUCCAACAGCGGCUAUAUGAUGUCCAGAUCCAUCUUUUCACACUGAGGACGACUGAGGGACUCGAACACGACUAUUACAUGAGGUGCAAACAUUCACUGAUCCUCAAGAAGACAACAGGAUACAUUAAGAGCCAUGGGGGUGGGGGGGUUAACAAAAGUUAACAUACCCCUUGUAGAAUCGGCAAAAUCUUAAUACUCUUAACAACAUAAGAAUCAGUCAUAAAUCAAAAAAAUCAAGAAGGUAUCAGGAUAAACUUUUGAACAGGAUGAUCGGUUAGUAUUUUGUCUUCUGAGUGACAUAUAACUAUCUUAUUCAUCGUCUGAAGGGCAGGACUAAAUGAAAAAAAUAAGCUCUUUAAACAAAAUAAUAACAAUUUACACCGAUCAUCCUGUUCAACAGUUUAUCAUGAUACCUUCUUGAUUUUUUUGAUUUAUGAUUUAUGAUUGAUUCUUAUUUUGUUAAAGAGUAUUAAGAUUUUGCCGAUUCUACAAGGGGUAUGUUAACUUUUGGGCACAACUGUACAUAUCAGAAGAUCCAUGACCUGUGAUUUGCAUUAUGAUCUAACAUGCAAUAAUGCCAGACAAGCCAUGCAUGUGAAGCGCAUACGGCUUUAACUGACUUUUCUCAGAUUUAUUAAAUGUUUUUUUGAUGCAUGCGCAGUCAGGUCAGAUAAAGCAAGGCCUUUUUUUUUUUUCCCUCCUCAGUAUGUUUAGUAGAAUGGUGUUGCUGCCAUAUUGAACUAAUGACCACGAGAGUCGAUGUAGAAUUAGAUCAAGCAGGCGCACUUGUGUCUUCCUGACAUUAUGAAAAUGUUUUAUUGAUGACUCAUUAUAGGCAGUCCGGCAUGAGGUGAGGGAUUUUUUUUUUUCUUUUUCUUUUCGAUUUGCCCUAAUAGAAGAUGCAAAGUCUAAUAAUGAUAAUGCCUCCUGAAUAAUUAAUACCAAAACCUCAUCCAUCUCAGUGCGGGAUAUGUACAUAUUUUAGGCGCUCAUUUGCAUAUUCAGAACAAACAGCAGCACAAAGCCAUUAGAGGACCAACGAGCUUCUUCUGUGUGACGCAUAAUAAUGAGAAGCUUUUGAGUGAUUGGUUUUUGAGAAUUAAGACAAGGAGGGGGGGUGGGGGGUUGAAACAGGCUCGGAGCUUUAAAGCCGGAGCACUGAAAUACCUCACACUGGUUCUUAUUUCAGUGCCUCGCACCCAUACUGCGCAUACGACAGCACACUGCACCGGAGGCUAGAGGAGUGUUUGCAAGUCAUUAGUGAUUUGUAAAUGAUAUUUGCUCCCUUGUGACAUGUCAUUUGAAAUGCUAUUUCUAAUAAUAAUACCCAGUGAUAUUAAAAAUAAGAGUUUAAUUAUCUUUAUGUUAUUGCAUCUUUCACAAAUUCAGUCUUGAGUGUUUAAAAGACUCAAUGACUUUCAAUAUUAGUUGUGAUCCAAAGUCGCAUCUAACAAAUAUUACACAUUCCUAAAAAGUUUAUUUUUCUUUCUUUCUUUCUUUCUUUUUUUUUCUUUCUCUCUAUCGCCACAGAAUUUUGCCCCCGAAUUGGCAAAGGAUAAACAUUGUGUGGAAUCGAUUGGGAAAGUGAAUCUUCAGCUGUCUGAGGUCAUGGGGAGCCCAGGGGACUUGGGGCACAUUCACACAGUAUGAACAAUUUAGAAACGCCAAUCAGCCUACAACGCAUGUCUUUGGAUUGGGGGAGGAAACCGGAGUGCCAGGAGGAAGCCUCCAAGGCACAGGGAGAGCAUGCAAGCUCUACGCAUACAGGGCAGAGGCAGGAAUCGCACCCCCAACCCUGGAGGUGUGAGGUAGGUGUGCUAAUUACGCCCUCCCAAGUCAACCAAUUAACUACAAACCACAUCACAUGUCCAAUCACAAGUAAUGUAUCUCGUUCACAGUCUCCUGCUUCUGCAUACAUUUGCAUUUAUUCGUUUAUCAGAUGUUUUAAUCCAAAUCGACGUGUACAAAUCGAAAGUACAAAUGAGGAAAUACAAACAAAGCGAUAUAUCAAGCAUAGCACAAUACAAGCACACCUGUUCAAGUCUGCCUUUACAUAACCCCGCCUUCACCUGUUCAUUAUGAAGUGUUGCUCCUGAUUUGUGCCAGCGAUGAGUCAAAGCAUUGUAUUCUGCUUCUGACUUCAGUUUUGCUAAAAUCCUGGUAUUGUCUCUGCUUAAUUCAGCCUGUUUGUAGAUCACCUAACUAUCUACCACUUUCCCCAAUUCUGACUACUUGCCUUUAACCUUUGGUAUGUUCUCCCUGGUUUUAUAUUAUCAUAUCAGCCCUGCAGUCGCAUCCAAGACUGCACAAUUCCUGACAAUAACUGAGGGCUUUCUUUUCUCACGGCUGUAGGUGCAGGUGCAUCAGUGCUUUUGUGUAACCACACUUUAGAAAGAAAUGCUUAUUGUUGCAGUUGAAACAUGACCUGGGUGAUUUACUACAUGGGUGCCCAGGGCCAUUAGCUCACAUUUCAGUUUGGGUUUUAUUAUUAUUACUCUGCUAUUGUUGACCGGAUUUAUUUGCUUUGCAGAUACAGUAUUCCACAAAUAGAUGUUGGGAGGAAUGAGAGAGCGAGAGAGAGAGAGAGAGAGAGAGAGAGAGA